rnacentral:rRNA from 1 species
ACCUCCGGACUGGGGUUCGCAAGCUUCAUGGCGAACGUACCUCGGGAAGUUGGUUAAACCUCACUAUUUAGAGGAAGGUGAAGUCGUAACAAGGUCUCCGUAGGUGAACCUGCAGAAGGAUC